UAGCCUGGGCUCUCAGGCUCCCUUUCUGCUCUGAAGAUGCUUCCUCACCCUGUGCAAGGGGCUUCCUGCAGCACGGCCUUGAGAAUUCUUCUCUCCCAGCUCCUCUCCUUUCCCGCCAUGAAGUCCAAAAGGAAACCUGCCCUGUGGUUUCUCAUCCAGGACAGGGACAGCUUUCUGAUGCUUGUGUGCUGUGGUCCUUGAAUGUGCAACUCUUCCUAGCUCUUCAAAUGCAGGGACAAUGACAAGGAGCUGCCUGAUUGGUACAGUCACUGCUUUUUUCAGUGUCUCUCCACCCUAAAUGCAUCACCAUCUCCCACACUGUGGGUAGAAUUUUAGCCAACUACAUUCUAAUGAUUAUCGCCACAACUUUGGUUUUAGAAAUAACAGUGCAGCGAACAUCCCUAUGCAGCCUCCUUUGAGUUCCUGUGUGAAUAUGACCAUAGGAUUCAUUUCUGAAAGUGAAACUGCGGGUCAGAAAGAUGUGUGCUUGUAAUUUUCUCCCAUUGUUGUCAGACUCCCCUCCAGAGGGGUUCUACCAAUUUACAAUGCCAGUUGUAAAGUACUUGUUCAGAGUACAUUGUUAAAAGUGUAAAUUUCUGCCAACCUGCCAGACUCAAAAACGGUACCUUGUUACAGUUUUACUUUUGAGUCUCCUCUUCUGCUUAAGAUUGGGCCUUUUCAGAAAUAGUUCAGUACAUUUUCUUUUUUAGGAUUUGGUAAACUUUUUCUUAAAUAUCCAGACAAGGGGAAUUUGAGUCUUUGAGGCCAGGCACGGUGGCUCACGCCUGUAAUCCCGAGCACUUUAGAAGAGUAGGACAGGUCAAUUGCUUGCUCCCAGGAGUUGAGAUUAGCCUGGGCCUCACAGUGAACUCUCAUCUCUAUUAAACUAAAGAACAUAAAAAUAAAUUUUAAAAAGAAUUCGUUUGGUCUUUGUGGCUCAAGAAUCAACCUUGGGGAUAUUCCAUAGCAAAUAAAGUGGGAAAUUUGACUUUCCUGAACACCCAGAUGACAACAGGAGAGAGGAGGUGAAACCCCCAAAGCUGUUAUUCUUUAAAUCCUCAGGAUCAAUAGACCUAGAGAAUCACCCACACUUGAGCUCUGUGGCCUCCUAUGAACUGACACAGCCACCCUCAGUGUCAGUGUCUCCAGGACAGACAGCCAGCAUCACCUGCUCUGGAGAUGUACUGAGGGAAAAUUAAGCUGACUGGUACCAGUGGAAGCCAGGCCAGGCCCCGGUGCUGCUGAUAUAUAAAGAUGCACCAGGAAGACUGUGGACCCAGCCAUGAGCAGGUCUGGCCAAGUUCUACUGGAUCUGAGACCUCCAGGCCAUCCUUUUGUCCAGCCCUACAGGUUGGCUCUGCAGAGGGUGGAUCAGGAGUGGAUUUAGGGCUGCUAUAUUCAGACUUUACUGGUGUUUUCGGGCUUUGGGAGUGACUUGGGAACAUAAGAACUGGAUGGAAGAUGAGAGAGGUGUAGAGAAACAUCACUUGGCCUUAGAUUUCCAUACGAUGGUGACUAGGUCACUCCUUCAAAAUAUCCUGUAUCAGUCCCAACAAAUGCCCAGCUCAGUUCAAUACCUGCGGUCCAGUCUUCCAUGGCAGCCUGGAAUUUUGAAGAGGAAAAGCUGAGGAGAGGGCACUGUGGCAUCUGCCUCAAUACCCUUUUCUGAGCUCACCAACCCUCAACUGUUGGGAGCUUCUAGGAGCUCAGGGCUGUGCCCUCACUGGAAAGUGCUAUUGUUUCCAGAAAACUUCCUUCCUCAUAUUUAGGUCCAGUUUUGAGAGUUUUCAUUGAAUGAUGGCCUGGGACCAAGAACCCAAGGCCCUGCCUUAAUACAGGAUGACACUGAAAGUCUUUCCAGCUCGUGACCUCCCAUGGUUGAUGCCUGAGGUGUAAGUUGCAGCCCUAUGAUGGGUCAGGGUAUCCUGCGAGUGGUGCCUUCCUCACUCCAUCCAGGUCAUCUGUGCAUGCAAACCUUUAUCUCAGAGUCUAUUUCCAGGAAACGCAAACUAAGAUGGCCAGCUCUCACCAAAAUGAGCCACCAUAGACCUGAGUAGACCUGAGGUGGCCACUAUACACUGGAAAGCACCAACGAAUUCCCUCAGUUUCAUUGUGAGCAUCCAAAUGCCCAACUACAUCUGAGUGUUCCUUCUGUUCUUACGAAAUGAAAAGGUAGCCUGACAUACCAGGUGCUCUGGGUCCUGAAGGAGAGGUGGAGUCAGAUCCUCCUGCAAGAAAUCCAUGGAAAGGGGAGCUGCCUCACCCCAUGCAGGAACCAGAGAUACUCCCACAGGGGCAGCUGUAGGAUGGACACUGCCCACCUCCACCCUACACAUCCUGCACAAUCACUCUUUUCACCCCUCCUUCAGCUUAUCAAAGUUGACAUUGACGAAGCCAGCACAGCUCACCCUUGGCAACUGGACUCCUUCAAGCCUCCAUCAACCACACAAUCUCAACAAAAAGAACCUCCCCAAAAUAAUAAUAGUAACAGUAUCUAUGAAAAUGUCUAUGAAAUAUCUCACAAAUAACUUUAGAUUGUGUGCAUGUGUAAAUAUUAUUUUUCACACAUUGGGUUAAAUAGAAUACAUUAUUGAAACUAGUUUACCUUUUUAUUUUUUAUAUCUAAUAUGGUAACUAGACAGUAGGAUUCACAUGAGGCUCACAUCAUGUUGUGACUGUACAAUGCUGGUCUGGUCUUACCCCUUCAGAUGACAGGUGCUUUGGAGUAACCUGCUUCAGCCCCAUCUCCACCUGUAGGACAUAUGUGUGAAGCCAAGGAGAGGCACGGGUGGAAGAGAAAUGAGGACCGGCUGUUUAUGCAGGAGACUGAGUCCUGGAGCCCUGACCUUGCUCUGCCUUAGAUGUGUCACAUCCAUCUCACUUGAGACCACUGCUGGCCUCUCUGAGCUCACAACUGGGGGGAUCUGGCAGUUCUGGCAACAUGGUCGCUUGAUGUCCAGUGUUAUCCUGUCUCUCCCAGGGCCCAGUAAGACAAAAGGAGCUGUUUUAAAAAAGGGAAGUAAUGCUGUACUGCACAUGACAUGGCUUUCUUCCAAAACCCCAGGAGUCUACAUUGGGAUUCUCCAAUGGGGUUUGCCAUGUCCAGGAGGUUUCAGUUCCCACAGUAGAGUCAGCUGGAUUCUCUGGCCCCAACAGCAGGACACUCACAACCCUGCCUGCACCUGCUGCAGAUCCUCAACGCUCUGGGCCUGGAAAACAAUGGGUGAUAUUUAUGGCUCCUGAUAUAUGGGUUGAGCCACAUCCCCAAGUGUAAAAUAUGCUACCACUAGACCUUUAUAGACCUUGUGCCUCUUUCUUCCUGAGGGGAAAUGAAGGGUGUAAUAACAUGUUGUUUAUUUUGUAGGAGAUUCUCAGCUGCUCCAGACAACUAAACUCCCAAUUUCAGCUAAUACGGGGGAGGAAACAUCUUCAUUUAUUUCCCACUCUGAAAACUGCAUGGAUCUCACAAAAGCUUGCAAUAGGCCGUGCCCAUUAUGUACAUGUGAUUCAACUCUGAUGUCCAGAUGGUCUGAGUCCCCAUGAUGAUACCAUGAUAGGGAAUGGAGAGCUAAUGAUGCUGGGCAGAAAAUUGUGAAUGUAUACUGUUGUCCAUCCCACGUGAUUGCGCACUGAUUCUGAUCCUAUUCUCUGAGGGUAAUGGUCAAGACCUCAGUAUCUGCUUCAAUGGUGUAACUGUGCACCUGCAGACACAGCAUUCUGUUCCAGGAGAGCCCCAUCUGGCACAGAUAUUGCAAAUGCCUCUAUUGCCUGUAUGGAUCUGUGCAAACCCAAAUUCAUCCUCCAGGAUCAUUCAACUAUUGUAGAGAUCAGUCCAGUAAACUGAAAACGAGGAUCCCAGAAGUGAUCACAUGUACUUCAGGAGAGAAUAGAGUUGUCUCAGAGGGCACCGUCCUGUUGAAAUUCCUCUGCUCCUUGGGAAGAAACAGCCCAGAAAGGGCCCCAGGGGCUGUGUCUCAUCUGGGUUCCUGGAUAAGGCAUAACUCCUUACUGUAGUGAGAUUUCACAGAAGCUGCGGGUGAAGUGGAAACACCAUCUUUGGUUCAUGAUUGGGAUCUUCUUUUUAUCACACACUCGUCAUUUUGUCCACAAUGUCCAAGUUUCCAAAUAGCUGUCUAAUAGAUAUAGGGGUUCUGUGUGGGCUGAUUAAAGCUCUAGGGUUGGAUAGUGAUGAUGUUUGCAUAUUUUUACUGUACUUAUUACUGCUUAAUUACAUACUUAAGAAUGAUUAAAAGGGUAAAAUAUUUUGUUAUAUUUAUUUUACCAUAAUAAUAAUAUUGCAUACUCUGGAAGCAAAGUAAUACCAGUUUAAUUUUAAAAUUAUACAACUGUUAAAAAUGGAAAGAAUUUUGUACUAAGCACCAUUUUCUCUAUUCUAUAUGCUACAACUCAACUUUAUCUCUCUCUCUCUAAUUAACAAUGAUCUCCUGUCUGGUCCAAGGUCAGACAUUUCCAGUCUUCCAGGAAUGUCUAUUGAUUCUGCUAAUUUGUUGCCAGGAAGAAUCCUCAAACUUCUCAUGCUCAUAUUUGAUUGUCAACUGUCUCAAGCCAGCAUUUCUAAACCAGGAUGCUUUGACAAGACUUGUGAAGAAUUUUGUAAAAAGUACCUCCCAAGAUGGCAGUGUUCACUGUUGUCAGCAGGACUGUUUCCACACAGUAGGGCUAUGCUGGGUGUGCAGAGGAGCCGUGCACACUUUGCCCACGGGGCAGAUUCUAUGCUGCUGACUCUGAUCCCUGUGUUUGGAGGACCAUGUCCACUGCUGAGUCUACAUCUGAAUUUGAUUCUCAAGAAAAAGGUCAUUCAUAGCUGUUGGACACUGAGUCACAUGGAGGGACAGAUGGUGGCUGAGGACACCUUAUCUCUGAUGUGCAUAAGGGGAUUAGAUUUGCUGGUGGAACAGGAAGAUGAAGAAACCUGUGGCACUAAACAUGGAAUUUCCAGCUCUCAGUCUCUGCUGUCCAUGCUCCCUCAGCUGUAUGUUCCUGGGAGAUGUGGACCACGUGUGUUAGAGGUGAAGGGGAUUGGGAAGCCUUCAUGGUCUCUCUCACCAUCUCCCUUGCUUGUCUAACACACUCUUCCACACCUACUUUAUUACAGCUUCUGCUCUACAAGCAUGCCUGACCUCUAAAUUAGAGACUUGUGAAAGUGCGGACAGAUGCAGGAACUCGUCCAUCUGGAGACUUUUCCACCACUUGACCCACUGAACACAUCUCUGCAAGCCUCCGAAUUUCAAGUGACAGGAUUUUGGGAUUUCAAAGAAAACUCAAUCUUUGGAUGAACCACAAUACAAGAGGGAAGCAUCACACGUUUCCCUGCUGCUUGGGCCUCAGUGAGGACUGACUCAGCCUGUCUCAGUGUCCUGGAGACCUCCUAGGAGAUGUGUAUUAGAAAAGUCUUUUCAGUACAAACUGGGGCAGGUAAGGGGCCCCUGCUCUGAUAUUCUGCUCCCUGAUAAUUUGGUUUUCAGAGAAAAACAAAGACCUGUGAUUCCAGGAAGUUCAAAGCCCACAGAUAAGGUCUCCUCAUUCUCCUAUGACAGCCCGAGCUCUGCAUUCCAGAAAUAAAAGAGCAUCUUCCCAGCAUGAAGAGCCAGGAGCAAAGAGCAAGCUUCUCACAGGGGUGAGCAGGACAGAAGCCACCUUGGUCAGUGGGAAGGAAACUUGCUUAGCUCACAUCUGACUCAGAACCACUCAGUCACACCUGUGCAGGGUCACCUGCAUAUGAGCAUCAUUCAUUUGCUGCAGGACUUAAUACCUUGUGUGGCUCUUGGGUAAAAUCUUAGCACAGGUGACAUUUCUCUGCCUAUUGCUUCAACCCAUGUUUUUCAUAAUUCACUGUAGGACGCUUACAUAAGGUAAGCAUGUCAGGUGUGGAAUGUAUUGAAUAGGAAAAGCACAGGCUUCCUUUAUCAAUGCUCAUGUCUUGUAUUCACGACCAUAUCUUAUGGAAAUGGAAAAAACAAACAGAAAAGGGAAUGAUACUCUGCUCAAAAAAGAACUGAGAAAUGCUAUUGUAUAGCUAUGUCUACAACGUACUAGUUGAGCUAAUGGAACAUUAACUUAGAUCAUUUUUAUGGAGGGAUUCCUAAACCUUAAACAUUGUGUGAAAAAUUUUGUCAGGUUGAAAGAUCAUUAAAAGGCCAAAGUUUGAUUAUAA